UACGUAGGCAGCGAGCGUUGUUCGGAGUUACUGGGCGUAAAGGGUGUGUAGGCGGUUAUUUAAGUUUGGUGUGAAAUCUCCCGGCUCAACCGGGAGGGUGCGCCGAAUACUGAAUGACUUGGAGUGCGGGAGAGGUGAGUGGAAUUCCUGGUGUAGCGGUGAAAUGCGUAGAUAUCAGGAGGAACACCGGUGGUGUAGACGGCUCACUGGACCGUAACUGACGCUGAGGCGCGAAAGCGUGGGGAGCAAACAGG
rnacentral:rRNA from 1 species